CUCCUGCAGGUGUGCCACCUGCAGGCUGCAGGUACAGCUACUGCAAGCCCAUUCCUUAGCCCCUAGCCCACCAAUUGCUUCUUUUUCAGGAACAAUUCUGUUUCUGCCGUUUACUGCGCAUAGAAUAUGGAGCUUCUCAGCCUCAAACACGCGCAUUCAGGCCAACAGACUCAACAAGAAGCAUGAUGUCUGCUUUAUAUUUCAUAAUCAAAUGUCCACUUAACAGUUCUUCCCAAAACAAAGACGAUCAGUCUGUCCCAAAGAAGCAGCAAGAAGAAAUCACUCUUCAGUACUCUGCUUGGACCAUCUCCUUUGCUAGACCACCCCAUGCCUAAGGUGCUGCUCCAUUUCAUUCCUUCAGAACCUUAUGAAGUAAGCUCACUGAUUGACCAGAUGGACCCUGGUGGAGGCAUGCAGGGAUCAACUCAGGUGUCUCAUUUCUGUUCCCAUCUGAAGCUGAAUCCAGGCAUUUGCAAGGAGCCUGUGACAUGCCAGGGGCAGCGGCUGCUGCUACCACAGCCAUCAUCCCUCCAUCUCAGGGUCCCUUAGAGCCCCAUGGCCUGAGCCACCUUUGUGCAUGGCAGCCAGAGGGGCCGGGCACCACCCCAUCACAACCCCUGCUGGAAACAGCUGCCCGCCCUCCUGUCGUUGGGAGGGAGCAGCAUUUGCUCCCCGGCACUGUCUCUGAGAGCAGCCUUGGCCAGAGAAAGGUUGGCGGAGUCGAGUUUGUUCAUCUGUUCC